rnacentral:tRNA from 1 species
GAGGAUUUAGCUCAGUGGCAUAGCACCUGCCUGGCAAGCACGAGGUCAUGAGUUCGAUUCCCAUUCA